rnacentral:rRNA from 1 species
CUGGCCGUAAACGAUGAACACUAGAUGUUGGGGGAAUCGACCCCUCCGGUGUCGUAGCUAACGCGUUAAGUGUUCCGCCUGGGGAGUACGCACGCAAGUGUGAAACUCAAAGGAAUUGACGGGGGCCCGCACAAGCGGUGGAGUAUGUGGUUUAAUUCGAUGCAACGCGAAGAACCUUACCAAGGCUUGACAUCCUGCGAAUCUCCAAGAAAUUGGAGAGUGCCUUCGGGAACGCAGUGACAGGUGGUGCAUGGCUGUCGUCAGCUCGUGUCGUGAGAUGUUGGGUUAAGUCCCGCAACGAGCGCAACUCACGUUUUUAGUUGCCAGCAUUCAGUUGGGCACUCUAGAAAGACUGCCGGUGACAAACCGGAGGAAGGUGUGGACGACGUCAAGUCAUCAUGCCCCUUACGCCUUGGGCUACACACGUACUACAAUGCUGCGGACAAAGAGUAGCGAUCUUGCAAAAGUUAGCUAAUCUCGUAAACCGUGGCUCAGUUCAGAUCGUAGGCUGCAACUCGCCUACGUGAAGGAGGAAUCGCUAGUAAUCGCAGGUCAGCAUACUGCGGUGAAUACGUUCCCGGGCCUUGUACACACCGCCCGUCACACCAUGGAAGUUGGCCAUGCCCGAAGUCGUUACUCUAACCUUUUGGAAGAGGGCGCCGAAGGCAGGGCUAAUGACUGGGGUGAAGUCGUAACAAGGUAGCCGUAGCGGAAGCUGCGGCUGGAUCACCUCCUAA